AUCCAAUUGACGGGUCCCAAAUAGGACGAAAUGCGCAUCAAACUGGAU
rnacentral:hammerhead_ribozyme from 1 species